rnacentral:hammerhead_ribozyme from 1 species
GUACUGAUGAAGAGCCCCAAUCUAGGACGAAACAGCUGUCCAGUAC